GCAUUAGCACUAAGUUGGACUCAGGAGUUUUUCAUGAGGACCCAGAAUCUGAUCAACAGUGGACAUCUAGAACAGAGGACAUCUUCACAUGAGCACCACCUGUGCCAGAAGCUAAGAUGGUGCCUCAUGUUGUUCACAAGAAGAAAGUGAAGCUUUGGUGCCAUGAAUUCACCCACUGAGAGUCCUACUACUGCAGGAGGACUGUAGCAUGAGCAGAAGUACCAGCUUGGCCACAGGCCUUGUGCCCUCACUUAAAAUUCCAGAUCUUCAGGAGACUGAAGGGUCAGCAACUAGGAAGAACUGGACAACACUACUGGUUUGGAUAAGUGAAUCUCCAGUAAGAAGAUGUAUUCCACAUACUGUCUUCAUGCCUUCUAUAAAGCUCAGUAAAGCCUAUGGACGUAUAUCCACGCAUUUCACUAAACUGUGGUUUGAAAGAAUCCUGUCUGAAGAGCACAUUUUAUGGCUGUACAACCCAAAUAUCCUUUGGUUUUAAUGGAAGCUUUACUGGACUAAAAGUCUACCUUUCGUGAAAGAACAUGGAAGAGGAAAGAAAUGACAGUAAGACUGAAUUAUGAACUCUUAGAAGUUGAGAACAAGAACUGAUUGUAUUGUGAAAGCUGAAUUCACUACUCGUGAUUAACGCCGGCAAUAGCAGUUGGCGGUGAUCGCAUGCAUGAGAUUGCUGAAGCAGAUGGAGCACAUGUAUUACUCACACAGGUUAGAAAAGACAAAAAGAAAACAUUUAUUCCAGUUUUCACUCCAGUGUUUAAAGAGCAUCACAAACACAACUUCAAAAGCCUGAGUUGCUUGGAAACUGACACCAGGGGUUCACUGCCUUCUCUGCAGCUCUCCUCAAACUUGAGACAGAGACUGUUAUAUUCCAGAACUAGGUUUCCUUCUCUUCAGAUCUGGGGACUUCUGGUCUUGAGAUGAGUUUGUGUUCCUGCCAUUGCCAUCUUACCUGGUGAUGACCAAAACACAGACACCAGUUACUUCUUGGGCAUCUACUUGAGUCAACUCCAAACUCUCUCAGGGUCACCCUGCUGCAAUCACGUCUCCCAGAGGUGUUACAGCUCUUAAUUACAUCAUCUUCAGAGUGCUCAGAGGUUCACUGACAGAAGUGAUUUCAGCAUACAAAACACUGCAGCAACAUAAACUAAUCUAGAUAGUAGAG
rnacentral:lncRNA from 1 species